rnacentral:rRNA from 1 species
AUACGGAGGAUCCGAGCGUUAUCCGGAUUUAUUGGGUUUAAAGGGUGCGCAGGCGGCCAUUUAAGUCAGCGGUUAAAUCGUGGGGCUCAACCCCAUCCUGCCGUUGAUACUGGGUGGCUUGAUUGCGGUCGAGGUUGGCGGAAUUCGUUGUGUAGCGGUGAAAUGCAUAGAUAUGACGAAGAACACCGAUUGCGUAGGCAGCUGACCAGACCGCAAAUGACGCUCAUGCACGAAAGUGCGGGGAUCGAACAGGAUUAGAUACCCUGGUAGUCCGCACAGUAAACGAUGAAUACUUGUUUUCGGCGAUAUAAUGUCGGAGGCAAAGCGAAAGCGAUAAGUAUUCCAUCUGGGGAGUACGCCGGCAACGGUGAAACUCAAAUGAAUUGACGGGG